UGGGGAAUUUUGGACAAUGGGGGAAACCCUGAUCCAGCCAUGCCGCGUGUCUGAAGAAGGCCUUCGGGUUGUAAAGGACUUUUGUCUGGGAGGAAAUCCCUAGCGUUAAUAGCGUUGGGGGAUGACAGUACCGGAAGAAUAAGCACCGGCUAACUACGUGCCAGCAGCCGCGGUAAUACGUAGGGUGCAAGCGUUAAUCGGAAUUACUGGGCGUAAAGGGUGCGCAGGCGGUGACACAAGCCAGAUGUGAAAUCCCCGAGCUUAACUUGGGAACGGCGUUCGGAACUGUGUCGCUAGAGUAUGUCAGAGGGGGGUAGAAUUCCUGGUGUAGCAGUGAAAUGCGUAGAUAUCAGGAGGAAUACCGAUGGCGAAGGCAGCCCCCUGGGAUAAUACUGACGCU
rnacentral:rRNA from 1 species